rnacentral:tRNA from 1 species
UGCAAUGUGCCAGAGUGGUCUAAUGGUGAUAUUAACAAGACUGGUGAGUGAAGGCUAAUACUUCUAUACGAGUCAGCCACAGGUUCAAAUCCUGUCUUUGCAA